rnacentral:rRNA from 1 species
AACGAACGCUGGCGGCAGGCUUAACACAUGCAAGUCGAACGCAUCGCAAGAUGAGUGGCAGACGGGUGAGUAACGCGUGGGAACCUACCCUUUACUACGGAAUAACUCAGGGAAACUUGUGCUAAUACCGUAUGUGCCCUAUGGGGGAAAGAUUUAUCGGUAAAGGAUGGGCCCGCGUUGGAUUAGCUAGUUGGUGGGGUAAAGGCGUACCAAGGCGACGAUCCAUAGCUGGAAGGAGAGGAUGAGCAGCCACAUUGGGACUGAGACACGGCCCAAACUCCUACGGGAGGCAGCAGUGGGGAAUAUUGGACAAUGGGCGCAAGCCUGAUCCAGCCAUGCCGCGUGAGUGAUGAAGGCCUUAGGGUUGUAAAGCUCUUUCGGCGGGGACGAUAAUGACGGUACCCGCAGAAGAAGCCCCGGCUAACUUCGUGCCAGCAGCCGCCGUAA